CUUGUCUGAUCUUGGCUGAUAUUAGGAGAGGCAGUCUAACCCAGAUGAAUGAAACUCUGCUUCCUUGAUCAUGGCUGCAAAGGGACACCGCCCCACGCCCCACCUCCUCUGUGCGGAGAUAGGAGGAAUCCCUCAGACCCCACAGCUCUCUCUCAUCUCUGGCAGCCUGCGCCCCAGGAGUAUGAGAUGAAAGAGAUCCACACGAUGGUCCCUGGCAUCUUUGGCUACUGUUAUUCUUCUAUAUCCCUUGGCCUAGGGAUCUAUUUUAGGCAGUAACUUCCACUCCCUCUCUGUCAGAAACCUCUCUCAUCAUUGAGCUAGAUUUUGGAAGUGUAGGAACAUCUGGUUUUUGGACUGUGAGUCCCCUCAAGGCUGAUAGGAUGUUUAAUUUUAGCUAAUGAAUGGAUGUUUAAUUUAUGAGUAUAUGAUGAAUAAAUAAAACCAGCUCUGAUGGUUUCAUUUUAA
rnacentral:lncRNA from 1 species